GAACAAAACCCAUCUCUCUUCUCCAAACAAAUCUCUAUACCCUUCUGCUAAAAAAUAAAACUCUUUUUUCAAUUAACCCUAUUUCACUUCCGUUCGAGCUCGAAUCCGGCGACCGGCAGUCCGAUUCGGCGGCGGCUACUGGGUUUGAGGCUCAUCUUCAACUGAAAUAGUAAGUUUAUUUGAGUAAAAUAUUGAUUUUAUUUGAGUAAGUUUUGUUUUUUUUUGAAAAUAUUAACUUAGCAAAAUAAUUUGGUAUAAAAAAUUUGCUUUCUGCAAAGAGUCUUAGAGCCAAAAAGUAAAUGCCAAAUUAAUUUUGUAGGCAUUUGAAUAUUGUGUGCUAGUGUUAUUUUGAAAUAUUCUUUCAGUGAAGUGUUUCUUUUCAAACAAAAACUUUGAAUUAGGGCAUUUUUUUUAUAGACUAGAGUGAAAUUUCGAACUUGUUUAAUUUAAUUAAUACUUGUUCUCAUAGUAGCUAUACUAAGCAGUAAGCCUUUAUUAUAACUUGAAAAUUUGAAAUUUUUAUUCACAAAGUAUCGUAGUAUAACUUUAAUAUUUUUGCAGGGUUUGCAUAUUACAAGACAAGAUCAAUUAUAUUAUGUUUUGCUGAACUAAAAAUCUUUUCACUUCAAGGUCAAAAAUUUCACAAAUUGGUAAGUGUUCCUAAUUUAAAGGGUGUAAUUUCUUUAUUUUAAAUGUUAUGUUUCCUUUUUCUUUAUAGAAGGGGUGUGAUUGAGUGAUUUCCCUGUUAUAUUCUCUUAGUGUUGUUCUUGAUAGAAGGGGUGUGAUUCCCCUAAUGAAUUUUUUUUUUUAUUCUUAAUGGACACUUAAAUUGAAUUGAAUCAUUGUUUUGUAGGAAGUUCUUGUUCUUGUAACUUGAGAUGGAUGUAUUUUUGACGAGGUUUAAUUCUUCUCAACCAAGUUCUAGUUUUAGAGAGAAUUUCUCCCGUCUAGUCGAUGAAUUUGAUGUGGAAUCACUAAAUUCCGACCCCGGAGAGAGAAUACCCAUUGAUAAAUAUAGCCUUAGAAUACGAGAUGAAGUAAAAAAAAUACUAUAUUAAACAAGGGCCUUGCCAAUCAGGUGAUUACAAAUUCUCUAAAACUUUAUUCGGAAAGCAAAUGCGUCAAUUUAGUCUGAGUUGGUUUAAAGAUUCAAACUCUAGAUAGUUAGAGUAUAGUGUGAAGAAAUAUGCGGCAUUUUGUUUAUGUUGCUAUUUAUUCAAGAAUGAUUAUGUCUAUGGAAGCACGGGUGACUCUUUCACAAAAAUUGGCUUUAGGGCUUGGAAUAAAACUUCAGUAAGACUUGCUUUACAUGUUGGUGAAGUAAAUAAUCUCCACCAUAAGUGUUUCAAUAAGAUGCUAGACUUGUCUAAUCAAUCUCAGUCAAUUAAAAUUGCUUUUAACAAGCAAUCUGAGAAACAAAGAGGUGAUCACCGAAUUCGUUUAAAUACCUCAAUUGAUAUUGCAAGGUUCCUCUUGGAAUUUGGAUUGUCUUUUCGAGGUCAUGAUGAAAGUGAAUCUUCCAAAAAUAAAGGUCUUUUUAUAGGGCUAUUGGAAUGGCUUGCAAAGAGGCUUCCGGAUGUGGAUAGAGUUAUAUUAAAACAUGCUCUAAAAAAAUGAUAUGAUGACUUCACCAAAAAUUCAAAAGGAUAUUGUUAGUGCUUGUGCACAAGAAACUGUGAAAGCUAUAAUUGAUGACUUGGGAGGGGAUUAUUUUAGGAUAUUAGUUGAUGAGUCUAAAGAUAUUUCACACCAUGAACAAAUGGCCCUUUAUUUGCGGUAUGUUGACAAAAAAGGCCAAGUGAAUGAGCCAUUUAUUGGUCUUGUUCGUAUUGGUGAUACAUAUGCAAAGUCAUUGAAGGAAGCAAUAUAUUCUUUAUUAUUGAAACACUCAUUAAGUCCAUCCAAAAUACGUGGGCAAGGAUAUGAUGGAGCUAGUAAUAUGCAAGGAAAGGUGAAUGGUCUUAAAGCUUUAAUUUUAGAACAAACUCCAUCGACAUAUUGUAUUCAUUGUUUUGCGCAUCAAUUGCAAUUGACACUUGUAGUUGUGGCUAAAAAUAUAAGGAGGUGAAAACUUUCUUUGCUAUAAUUGCUAACGUAUUGAAUGUAUUUGGAGCAUCUUUUAAGCGUAGAGAUCAACUUCGCGAUCAUCAAGCAGAAUUGUUGGAGAAAUUGCUAGAGAGUGGUGAACUUCAAAGUGGGAAAGGAUUAAAUCAAGAGUGAGGGCUUCAAAGGCCAGGUGACACUCGUUGGGGAUCACAUUUUAGAACGUUGGGUAACUUUAUUGUUUUAUUUUCUUGCUUCACUUGAUGUUGAAAGUGUUGAUGAUGUCGAACGAGUUGAGUAAAGCUUUGCAGAAGAAAGAGCAAGAUAUUAACAAUGCCAUGGUAUUUCUUGACCUCACAAAGGAAAGGUUGCAAGUAAUGAGAGAAGAUGGAUGUGUGUCAUUGAUGGAUGAAGUUUCUUCAAUUUAUGCUAAACAUGAUAUUGUGGUACCCAAUAUGAAAGAAUUCUAUAUUCCUGGAAAGUCAAAGCGUAGACCUUCUACUGUUACGUAUUCACAUCACUUACGUGUUGAUCUUUUUUAUUCUGUGAUUGAUUUACAGCUUCAGGAGCUUAACAGUCGUUUUGAUAUUGUGAGUGGUAACUUGCUUCUUGGUAUGGUUAGCUUGAAUCCGGUUAAUUCAUUUGCUAAUUUUGAUAAGGAAAAAAUAAUGACAUUGGCCAAGUAUUAUCCAGAUGAGUUUGGCGAAUAGAAGCUUCGAGAUCUUAGUCACCAAUUUGACAUUUUUAUAUUGCACAUGCGACGUGGUGACCUUAGGUUUUCUGAUUUGAAAGGAAUUGGUGAUUUGGCAAAAGCCUUGGUUGAGGCAAAUCUUGCAGAGAGUUAUUCACUUGUUUAUUUACUUGUAAAGUUAAUUCUAAUUUUACCUGUCGUGACUGCAACUGUGGAAAGAGCAUUUUCAUCCAUGAAGUACAUCAAAGAUGAAUUAUAUAGUAGUAUAAGUAAUACAUUUUUAAAUGAUUGUUUAGUUUGUUACUUUGAGAAGAAAGUAUUUACAAAUGUAAGUAAUGAUGCUAUUAUUGACCGUUUUCAAAAUAUGAAAGCGCGUCGAGUUCAAGAAUGAACGAAUGAUGUACUUUUGUUAUAUUAGUAUCACAUUGAUGAUAUUCGAUAAUAUUAAAGUUUGUAUUUUGCUGAUAAGUUAUCACAUAUGUUUUCAUAGAGUUGAGCCGAACUUUAUCACUAGUAAUUGGCAUGUUUAAGACAAUGGUGCCUCCGUCCUGCUCAAAUCCUGGGUCCGCCUCUGUGUCGAGCAGGUCUCAUAGGAAGAGUGUCUGGCUUUACUUAAAUGCGUCUCAGAAGAUAAUUCAGUUCGCAAUGAAAAUUGAUCUAGUUGCAACUAAUUUCAUUACUUAGAAUGUUUGGUUGGAUUGUAUAACUGAGUUUAAUCAUAAGGUCAUUUAUUUUACUACUAAAUGCCAUUUUACGACUAUUGAAUAAACGUUGUAUCACUAUACAUGAACAACUUUGUGGACUCUUUAUAUGUUAACCAUGAAUUUAAGUAAUAUGAAGUGAGAUCCGUUAAGCUACUGAUUUGUUGUUUUUUCUCCUUUAAGUUAGGCUGUCUUCUUCCUCUUUCUUUUCUACCUUUACAUGAAUAACUUUGUGGACUCUUUAUACGUUAACCAUGAAUUUAAGUAAUAUGGAGUGAGAUCCAUUAAGCUACCGAUUUGUUGUUUUUUCUGCUUUAAGUUAGACUUGUCUUCUUCCUCUUUCUUUUCAAACCUUGGUUUAGAUGUUGUAGUUUAUGUGGGUUUAAUGCUCUUGUUUUGAAAGCAUAUUGGCCUUACUAGUUACUACUAUCUGUAAUUGGAAUUCGAAAAAAGAGAUAACCGGAAAUAUCAUUCUCAAAUUUUCCUUCUCAUACUGAGCUAACAUGCAAGCAUAACAAGGGAAGAUAUCUGGCAAUAUUUGAAGUUAUUUCUCUCCUCCUCAAUCGGACAAAGCCAAUGAUGACAUAUGAUUGUUUUAACUGAGUAUUCUUUAAAUGCACACAAGGUUAUAUCGCCUAAAAGACGGUGAUCAAAGGGGAAAAGGUGACAUUCCUCAGCACCGUAGAAAGCAUAUUGUUCGAACCAUACUCGAAACAGAGUGAUCUGUCAAAUGUCAAUACAAUGGAUUCCUGUUUACAUCUUUUAUACAACAAGUAGCAUUAGAUCAUUUUGUACAUGUUAUUUUAGUAAACAAUUGAAAUAAAUGCUAUCUCAUGAAAU
rnacentral:lncRNA from 1 species